rnacentral:rRNA from 1 species
UACGUAGGGUGCGAGCGUUAAUCGGAAUUACUGGGCGUAAAGCGUGCGCAGGCGGUUUUGUAAGCCAGAUGUGAAAUCCCCGGGCUUAACCUGGGAAUGGCAUUUGGGACUGCAAGGCUUGAGUGCGGCAGAGGAGACUAGAAUUCCUGGUGUAGCAGUGAAAUGCGUAGAUAUCAGGAGGAAUACCGAUGGCGAAGGCAGGUCUCUGGGCUGACACUGACGCUCAUGCACGAAAGCGUGGGUAGCAAACAGG